AAUUGAUUUUAAAGUUUUUUUUAAUAGGAAGUUAUUUGUAUUUUUAUGCAAAACAAAAAAAAAAUGCAUGCAUGGGAAUCAAAUGCAGCAUCAGGUUAUUUAAAUUUGCAGAAGCGGCGUCGUUUGGAAGUGAAAAUUAUAUGCUCCUAAAAUUAGAUGCGUCUGACUGGUUUAUACCAAACUGAAACGAACUUUUAGAAAACCCUAAUGGAAACUAUUUUUUUAUUUUUUAUUUUUUAAUGACCUAAAGAAAAAAAAAAUCCUUAGAUUCUCUAAUAACUUAAAAUGGCAUUUUCAUCUGAACUCAAAAUUUAUAAAUAAAAAAUACAAUCAGAUAUAUCGACAAAAGAGAGAUGGUUGUGUAGGAGAUAGAGAAGUGGGUAUUGAGAUAUGUUGCUGUGGCAAUAAUGGCGGUGCUAUAGAGGAUAGAAAGGCUUUGCGGGAUUAGAUUUGUGAUACAGUGUGUUUCUCAUGAAGUAAAGAAGGGAGGGGAUACUCUUCACAUCUCUCUCGUCGUCACAGAGGCCGAUUCCGACCAAGGGUUGAUCUCAUGAUAUAGGGACCUUGUGGUGAAACCUUCAUGAUUUUCAUGACAAAACCAGUGAAACUUUUGAGUUUGUUGUGCACGAGAAAGGGCUUUAUCAUUUCUGUUUCGCAAACAAAUCUCAUCUUGUAACCAUUUCGAUCUGCAUCUUGGACAUGCAAAAGAUGGUGAGAGCUCAUUUUCUGUUUGGUUGUAUCAUUUUUUUUUUUUUUUUAUAACUGUUGAAGGCUCAA